CCGCGGUAAUCACUGACCAGCAGCCGCGGUAAUCACUGACCAGCAGCCGCGGUAAUCACUGACCAGCAGCCGCGGUAAUCACUGACCAGCAGCCGCGGUAAUCACUGACCAG
rnacentral:rRNA from 1 species